GUUGCCUGAAGGCUGUGGAUCAUUGUAUUGUUGACCCAGACGGAGUGUACUUCACAAGGAUUGUCUUUUUCUGAGAAAGCUAACCAUGGAUAACUCUCCUGAAGUGAACCAGGAGCAGGGAGACAUACCAAUAAUCCCAUUGGUCCAUGAGCCCAUGUCAGGGGAUGAGAUGCAGAGAGCCCAGAAUCAGGUGAACAACUUGCAGCAGUCAAUGAACCACAUGCAUGAGCAGCUGAAUUCCAUGGGGAGGCAGUUUACUGAGUUGCAGAGUGCCCUCUCUCAGCUCCUUGAUGACAACAUGCCUAUGGCACCUGAAGCGGAGGGGAUCCAACUGAAGAACGUCACCCCUGCACAGUGGGACAGAAUCCUCCCGAUAGGAAUCAUCCAGAGGGAGGAUCCCAACCAGAACCAAUCAUUCCAACAAUACGUCAUCCCAAUCAAAAACAAUGGAAUGGAACAGAUGGAAUAUCAUGGACCACCUCCACCUCCCAUCAUCCCCAUGGUGGGAUCCUGGGACACUGGAGUGAAUGCUCCACGUUGUGGAGAUUUCUAUGCCAGGAGAAAAGAUAUCCGGAGUAGAUAUGUGGCGGAUCCUGCUUUAAUGACCAUCACCAAGCCAGAACACUUCGAGGCCAACCCUCAGAGCCAGGCUGGCAGUUGGCCGGUGGCUAAACCUCAGCACCCAGCACCCCCAGUACAGAAAACACGAAACAGUGGAGGCUGGCUCAGGUGGUUCUUCGGAGAAAAGGAAGAAGUUCUUCAGAUGACAAGGAUACCAGAUGACAAGCCUAAUUCUAUUGUCUGGGAUCAAAACCUGCACAGAUGGGUUGACGCAAGUCCCAUGCCCAAGACUGAGAACAAGCCUGUUCCACCUCCUCCCCCGAUGGGGAUGUAUCUGGAGAACUCUAGUCUCCCCAAAGGAGUGAAUCCUUACUCCAUGAAAGCAGCAGAUCAAGGAAGCCUAGGGGACAGGUAUCCCAAGCUAUUGUACCAUGGUGGGAUCACUACAACACCUCCAUACCAGGGUCCUGGAUCGCUCCCUGCCCAGCAUGCAACACUCAUGGCACCGAUGACUGUGCCAUUCGAUGUUGACAGGCAGAAACUUGGCCCAGGCACUCUACCCUUUUGAGAAUCGACACUGAACAAUCCUUCUGCAACGAUUUAUUUAAUUAGCUUUAAUAUACAGCAACACUUGGCUGAAGUUUCAGUGAUUUUUAAGCUAUUUAUUUUUGUCUCACAGGUCGUUUUCCAGGAGGGAUCAUUUGAUAUUUCAGCAUUUUAAAAGACAAAAUAAAAUAAGAUUUCGGGCUUUGAAAAGUUAUUAAAAAUCUGUAUGUUCACGUAGCUUUGAUAUGUUUUCUGGCAUCCUUUACAAGCCCAUCGCUUGUGCACAUUUCUCUAUGUUACAUACUUUACAGAUGGGUAUAUUAUUUAUACAUAUGUUUUUCAAAAUAUAUUCAAAAAAGAAUUAAUCUAUUUCAUAAACAUAAUAUCAAAUGUAAAUAAAGUGCAUUUUAAAUUGUACACCAUAUAUUUCAAUAUAUGACUUUACUGCAGG
ensembl:lncRNA